rnacentral:tRNA from 1 species
GCGUGGAUAGUUUAGUGGCAGAAUAUGACGUUGCCAACGUUGUGACCCGGGUUCGACCCCCGGUCCGCGCA